rnacentral:tmRNA from 1 species
UACGGAUUCGACAGGGAUAGGUCGAGCUUAAGUUGCGAGUCGAGGGGAUCGGCCUCGUAAAAAACGUCAAAGCCAAUAACUGGCAACCAAAAAUUAGCUUUAGCUGCCUAAUAUAGCGCAGCUGUUCGCCCCUCCAUCGCCCAUGUGGUAGGGUAGCGGACUCAAACUUAGUGGGCUACGCCGGAUUCCGCCGCCUGAGGAUGAAGGAAGAGAACAAUCAGGCUAGCUGCCCGGACGCCUGUCGGUAGGCAUAAGGGACAGCGAAGCGCAAAUAUACCGACUACACUCGUAGAAGCUUAAGUGCCGAUAUCUCUGGACGUGGGUUCGAUUA